rnacentral:rRNA from 1 species
GGUUGUAGGACUCCAAUAUGGUAGUUCUUUCAGAUAGUCGAAUGACUUGGAAAAGUCAGUCAAAGAGGGUAAAAACCCCGUAGAUGAAAUUUGGAAGGCACCUAGGAGGAUCCUGAGUACGGCGGAACACGAGGAAUUCCGUCGGAAUCCGGGAGGACCAUCUCCCAAGGCUAAAUACUCCCUAGUGACCGAUAGUGAACCAGUACCGUGAGGGAAAGGUGAAAAGCACCCCGGAAGGGGAGUGAAAUAGAACCUGAAACCGUGUGCCUACAACAAGUCAAAGCCCGUUAAUGGGUGAUGGCGUGCCUUUUGUAGAAUGAACCGGCGAGUUACGAUUGCAUGCGAGGUUAAGUUGAAGAGACGGAGCCGCAGCGAAAGCGAGUCUGAAUAGGGCGUUUGAGUAUGUAGUCGUAGACCCGAAACCAUGUGAUCUACCCAUGUCCAGGUUGAAGGUGCGGUAAAACGCACUGGAGGACCGAACCCACGUACGUUGAAAAGUGCGGGGAUGAGGUGUGGGUAGCGGAGAAAUUCCAAACGAACUUGGAGAUAGCUGGUUCUCUCCGAAAUAGCUUUAGGGCUAGCCUCGGAAUUGAGAAUGAUGGAGGUAGAGCACUGUUUGGACUAGGGGCCCAUCUCGGGUUACCGAAUUCAGAUAAACUCCGAAUGCCAUUCAUUCAUAUCCGGGAGUCAGACUGUGAGUGAUAAGAUCCAUAGUCGAAAGGGAAACAGCCCAGACCACCAGCUAAGGUCCCAAAAUAUAUGUUAAGUGGAAAAGGAUGUGGGGUUGCACAGACAACUAGGAUGUUGGCUUAGAAGCAGCCACCAUUUAAAGAGUGCGUAAUAGCUCACUAGUCGAGUGACCCUGCGCCGAAAAUGUACCGGGGCUAAACAUAUUACCGAAGCUGUGGAGUACACCUUUAGGUGUAUUGGUAGGAGAGCGUUCUAAGGGCGUUGAAGGCAGAUCGUGAGGACUGCUGGAGCGCUUAGAAGUGAGAAUGCCGGUAUGAGUAGCGAAAGACAGGUGAGAAUCCUGUCCACCGAAUGACUAAGGUUUCCUGGGGAAGGCUCGUCCGCCCAGGGUUAGUCGGGACCUAAGCCGAGGCCGACAGGCGUAGGCGAUGGACAACAGGUUGAUAUUCCUGUACUCGUUGUUUUUGUUUGAGCAAUGGAGGGACGCAGGAGGCUAAGGAAUGCAGACGAUUGGAAAUGUCU